rnacentral:tRNA from 1 species
GGCGCCGUGGCAUAGUGGUUAGCGCGCCUGCCUGAAACCCAGAGGGUAAUGGGUUCAAGGCUCGUCGCCGCUA